rnacentral:rRNA from 1 species
UACGUAGGGUGCGAGCGUUAAUCGGAAUUACUGGGUGUAAAGCGUGCGCAGGCGGUUUUGUAAGCCAGAUGUGAAAUCCCCGGGCUUAACCUGGGAAUGGCAUUUGGGACUGCAAGGCUUGAGUGCGGCAGAGGAGACUGGAAUUCCUGGUGUAGCAGUGAAAUGCGUAGAUAUCAGGAGGAACACCGAUGGCGAAGGCAGGUCUCUGGGCUGACACUGACGCUCAUGCACGAAAGCGUGGGGAGCAAACAGG